UACGGGGGGGGCAAGCGUUGUUCGGAAUUACUGGGCGUAAAGGGCUCGUAGGGGGCCAAUUAAGUCAGACGUGAAAUCCCCAAGCUUAACUUGGGAACUGCGUCUGAUACGGAGUGGCUUGAAUUCGGGAGAGGGAUGCAGAAUUCCAGGUGUAGCGGUGAAAUGCGUAGAUAUCUGGAGGAAUACCGGUGGCGAAGGCGGCAUCCUGGACCGAGAUUGACACUGAGGAGCGAAAGCCAGGGGAGCAAACGGG
rnacentral:rRNA from 1 species